GGGGAUAUAACUUAACGGCAUAAGCACCUGCCUGGCAAGCACAAGGUCCUGAGUUUGAUUCUCAGUACCA
rnacentral:tRNA from 1 species